UGAAUGCAUAACCACUUUUGCUAAAAAGUUAUGCAUAUAUAAUAUUAUUAUGUAGAUGUAUUAAAAAAUAAAGAUGACACAAAAUUGUGUUGCAGAUUAAAUACAGGAACAUGACCCCUGAAGCAGCUUUGGAUCAUGUACGAUCCAUUAGGCCUCGAGUGCUUUUGGCACCCUCGCAGUGGUCACUCAAGUAGAUCUAAAGUUAUUCUUUGAGUCCAUAUGUGGUGAGGUUGGUCGUUCUUUACUCCAAACACAAUCUCCCUUCUGUAUAGCUAAAAGUUUGCAGAAAUGGCACCAUCAAGAUCGAUCUGGAGACCAACAAGAUCAUGGACUUCAUCAAGUUUGACGUCGGCAAUGUGGUCAUGGUGACCGGCGGGAGGAACACCGGGCGUGUAGGAGUGAUCAA